rnacentral:rRNA from 1 species
UACAUGUGGGGCAAGCGUUGUUCGGAAUUACUGGGCAUAAAGGGUGCGUAGGCGGUUUGUUAAGUCAGGGGUGAAAGUUUUCGGCCCAACCGGAAAAUUGCCUUUGAUACUGGCGAACUUGAGUGCGUGAGGGGUAACCGGAACGAGCAGUGUAGCGGUGAAAUGCGUAGAUAUUGCUCGGAAGGCCAACGGCGAAGGCAGGUUACUGGUACGCAACUGACGCUGGGGCACGAAAGCGUGGGGAGCAAACAGG